GACGAACGCUGGCGGCGUGCCUAAUACAUGCAAGUAGAACGCUGAAGGAGGAGCUUGCUUCUCUGGAUGAGUUGCGAACGGGUGAGUAACGCGUAGGUAACCUGCCUGGUAGCGGGGGAUAACUAUUGGAAACGAUAGCUGAUACCGCAUAAUAGUAGAUGUUGCAUGACAUUUGCUUAAAAGGUGCAAUUGCAUCACUACCAGAUGGACCUGCGUUGUAUUAGCUAGUUGGUGGGGUAACGGCACACCAAGGCGACGAUACAUAGCCGACCUGAGAGGGUGAUCGGCCACACUGGGACUGAGACACGGCCCAGACUCCUACGGGAGGCAGCAGUAGGGAAUCUUCGGCAAUGGACGGAAGUCUGACCGAGCAACGCCGCGUGAGUGAAGAAGGUUUUCGGAUCGUAAAGCUCUGUUGUAAGAGAAGAACGAGUGUGAGAGUGGAAAGUUCACACUGUGACGGUAUCUUACCAGAAAGGGACGGCUAACUACGUGC
rnacentral:rRNA from 1 species